ACCGUUGUGGCAGAUAAUAUGCCGUAGCUUUAAAGACUACUUAUGAAAUUAUCCUUCGGAU
rnacentral:tRNA from 1 species